GCGAUCUUAGCUCAGCAGGUUAGAGUGCCGGAUUGUGGUUCCGAAGGUCGUGGGUUCGAAUCCCAUAGGUCGCC
rnacentral:tRNA from 1 species